GAUGAAGAAACGUAGCGAAAUGCGAUAACUAGUGUGAAUUGCAGAUUUCAGUGAAUCAUCGAGUCUUUGAACGCACAUUGCGCCCCCUGGUAUUCCUAGGGGCAUGCCUAUUCGAGCGUCGUUUACACCCUCAAGCGCAAGCUUGGUGUUGGGGAUCGCCCCUCCCUCGCGGGAGGCGGCGGCCCUUGAAUCCAUCGGCGGUGCCGGUGCGGCCUGGAGCGCAGCAGCGAUGCAGCUCGUGGGUCCGCUCGACGCCUGCCGUGCAAGCGUGGUCUUCGCGGCCACACCUUCAAACGUCGAACUCGAAUUAGGUAGGGAUACCCGCUGAACUUAAGCAUAUCAAUAAGCGGAGGA
rnacentral:misc_RNA from 1 species